rnacentral:tRNA from 1 species
GCCAAUUUAGCUCAGUUGGUAGAGCACGAAACUUGUAAUUUUGAGGUCAUCUGUUCAAUUCAGAUAAUUGGCUCCA